CCCGGAAUUGAAUACGGCUUUCCCUCCCUCUGAAGCGGAAAUGCCACGGCUGCUCGGCGCACAGCGACUUGCAACAGCGGAGAGAGGAGAGCCAGCAUGGAGUUUUCCUUGAGUUCACCAGAGUGGUAGGUAGAAACCUGAAAGAGGACUUCUUUGGUGAACUGGACCGUUCUUCUCCAUGCCUUAUGGACCUCUUCAGGAAGAAGAGAGGCCUUACUGGCCAGAUCUUGGCGGAGCUUUUGUGGAAGAUGAAGACCACUGAACCCACUGACUUGAGAUACCUGUGUAUUCGGGGGCUACCUGUCAUUUUGGGGGAUGAUCCUGCUGCAUUCUUCAGGUUUUGCAAUGAUGAAAGUGACAUGGACUCCUUCAGCCAAACAUCUGUGGGAAUCAUCUGUGUUGAUCACAAAGACUCUCAGCUCAACCCAUCCAGAGUUGGGAUUGUCCUGGAAGGGAGCAUGGUAAUGGAUAGGUUGGCCAACCUGCCUCAUGCUUUUUGCCUCCUUUUUGGACUCAUUUAUGCCCUUCACUUAGACUACCCAAAGUGCAUGAA